UACGGAGGGUGCAAACGUUGUUCGGAUUUACUGGGCUUAAAGAGCACGUAGGCGGCCGGCUCAGUCAGAUGUGAAAUCCCUCGGCUCAACCGAGGAACUGCAUUUGAUACAGGUCGGCUUGAGUGGAGGAGGGGAGAGCGGAACUUCUGGUGUAGCGGUGAAAUGCGUAGAUAUCAGAAGGAACGCCGGAGGCGAAAGCGGCUCUCUGGCCUCUUACUGACGCUGAGGUGCGAAAGCCAGGGGAGCGAACGGGAUUAGAUACCCCAGUA
rnacentral:rRNA from 1 species